rnacentral:ncRNA from 1 species
UUGUUUACGAAGAUAAGAUGAAGUAGACAUUGAAAGAUUCUCAGAGAGCUAAUGGUUGGUGUGAGUUAGUGAUUGGCAAAUGUUGAAAAUGGUCUUUGAGUCAUUUGUAGUGGUGAGCCAUCAUGGGUUGAUGUGUAAGCCAUUGCCGGAAGUGCCCGUUAUCGCACAGCGUAUAUCCGAACGUUGUUGACUAGUCCAACGGAAGUGGCGUACGUCUGAGCUUGUGUCAGUAAUGAUACGAGAAAACUAGGUGGUAACACGAUUCAGAUCGUCCUAGGA